ACUGAUAACACUUUUAUUAUCAAAAAUAAAGAUGCAUAUUACAUAAUGAUAAAGGGAAAAUUCUCCAAGGCAAAAGUAAAUGUGGAUGCACCUAACAAAAGAGUUUCAAAAUAUGUGAGGUUAAAAAUUGACAGAACUAAAAAGAAAAAUAGACAAAAAAUAAUAAAGUUGGAGCCUAUUAUUUAUUUAAGUAAUCAAGAGAAAUAAAAACAAAAUUGGAGAGUUCCCAUCAUGGCUCAGUGGAAACAAAUCUGACUAGCAUCCAUGAGUAGGCAGGUUUAAUCCCUGGCCUCUCGCAGUGGGUUAAAGAUCUGGCAUUGCCAUGAGCUGUGGUGUAGGUCGCUUUCCAACAAAGAAAUGUCCAGGAGUUCCCGUUGUGGCACAGCGGUAACAAAUCUGACUAGGAACCACAAGGAUGCAGGUUCCAUCUCUGGCCUCUCUCAGUAGGUUAAGGAUCUGGUGUUGUGAUGAGCUGUGGUGUAGGUCGAAGACGUGGCUCAGGGCUCGAAUUGCUGUGGCUGUGAUGUAGGCCCGCAGCUGUAGCUCUGAUGAGACCCCUAGCCUGGGAAUCUCCAUAGGUGGUUCCUAGGUGCAGUCCUAAAAAACAAAAACAAAGCAAAAACAAAAGAAAUGUCCAGAAUUAGAUGGUUUCACUGAUGUAUUCUAUCAAAUAAAGAUGAAUUUAUAUCAAUUCUUCACAAAUUCUUCCCCUAAAAUAGAAGAAAUGGAACACUUUCUAACUCAUUCUAUGAGGUUACUGGAAUACACAUAGGCAGGCAGGCACGCGUGCACACACACACACACACACACACACACACACACAAUCAAAAGCAAAGAAACUACAGACUGAUGCAAAAAUUUUCAACAAAUAGUAGCAGAAUGAAUCCAGAAGCAUAUAAAAAGAAUUACACACCAUCACUAACUGGGGUUCACACCAGAAAUGCAAGGCUAAUUUUAACCUGGAAAAAUCCUUAAUGUAAUACAACAUAUUAAUAGAGUGAAAGACAAAAAAAUCACAUGAUCAACACUCCAUGUUAAAAGUACUCAAAGUACGAAUAGAAGGAAACGUCCUUAACUCAAUAUAUGGCAUCUAUGAAACACCUACAACAAAUAUCAUGUUUAAUGGUGAAAAGUUAAACACUUUAUUCCCACCUUAGAUCAUGAUUAAGAGAAAAACAUCCAUUCUCACCACUUUUAUUCAGCACUUUAUUGCUCAACAAUGUACUGUACUAUUUAGAAUUUAUUCAACAUUAUCCAACACCGAACAUUAGCUAAGGCAAUUAGGUAAGAAGAAGCAAAAGGCAUCUGGAUCAGAAAAGAAGAAAUAACACUAUCUUUAUCUGUAGGCGUUGUGAUCUUACUCAUAGAAAAACCUAAGAAAAUCAUUUUGAAAACUACUAAAACAAACUAGUUGAGUGAUGUUUCAGUACACAAGGUCAAUAUAUACACCAGCAAUGAACAAUCUGAAAAACAAUUCCAUUCACAAAAGCCUAAAAAAGAAUACUUAGGAAUAGAGUUAACAAAAGAAAUGCAAGACUUAUUACACUGAAAACUACAAAAUAUUUUUUUUUAAAAAAUUAAAGAAAAUAAGUGGAAAGAUAUUCCAUGCUCAUGAAUGAGAAGAUACAAGAUGGCAAUAUUCUCCAUACUUUCCAAAUUAUUUACAGAUUCAAUAUGAUCCUAUCAAAAUCCCACUUGCUUUUUUGGGCAGAAAUUUACAAGCUAAUUCUAAAAUUUACAUAAAAAUGUAAAGCACCCAGAAUGCCCAAACAGAUGUGAAAAAGAAUUUCAAGGAAAUUUCAAUACUUUCUAUAAGGCUAUAGAAAUCAUGACAGUGUGGCACUGGAAUAAUAAUAGACAUAUAUGUCAAUGCAAUAGAACUGAAAGUCCAGAAAAGAAAACAAACCUCACAUUUAUUGAUUUACAACAAAGGUGCCAAGACAAUUCAAUGAGAAUGAAUAAAAACUGGAAACAACCUGCAGUGCUUUUGGGAAUGUGAAAUGGUUCACACUCACUGGAAAACUGCUAUUUUUCUCAAAAGGUUAGACACAGAGUUAAUAUAUGACUCAGCAGUGCCACCCCCAGGUUAUCUACCCAAGUGAAAGGAAGCCACACAAAAAGUUUGUCAAAAAUAAAAUCAGAUCAAGUUAAAACUUUAAUAAGAGUUUAUGUUUAUCGUGCAUACAAAAGAACAGACUGAACUGGGAGACCAAAGCAAAAGUGUUAAGAAGCUCAGAGGCACGACCUUACCGAAUGAAUUAUAAAGUGAACAAUGAGAAGUAAUCUAGCCUUUACAAUGAUUAGUUAUUACAAUGGAGUUUUACAGAUAGCAGGAGAUUAGUUAAAAGUGAUUAUCUUAGGCGACUUUAGGAAGAUGACUCAAGUUUUAUGAUUAUCAGAGAUAUUAUAAAAGUAACCUAACUUAAGCUUUGUUUAUGUGGCCUAUCUCGUUUUAUCUGCUCAAGGGAUUUUCAGGCCUAGCCUCUAUUUUCCUUACAUUCAGCAAGUUGGAUACAACCUUUCAUAGCAGCAUUAUUCAUUAUAGCAAAAAAAAUGGAAAUAACCAUCAACUGUCCAUCAAGUGGAGAACAGAUCAACAAAAGGUGGUAUAUUCACACUAUAAUAAAGAGUCUGACUCUGCUUUUAAUUUUGACUGCUAUAGGCUUCAAAAUCACUUUUGCCUUUCUCUUCUGCCCCACAUCCAGGCAAACUGACAAGAAAAUCCUUACAUCCUCUGGCCCACAUGUAUGUUCUCUUUCCCAGCCCUAAACUGUAACUGCAAUAAAAACCAGGCCACUCCUUCCAACUCAUUCUCAAGCCACUCAAGCAAGUUCUAGAUCAGCUUGGUUGCUUACCCUGCUCUACCCAGAAAUUCCCAUGAGGUCAUUAAAAAAUAUUUUAACAUCCUCUUAAUGAGUGCAAAUCUCGACACCCAAGCCAAAUUUGGGGUGGACUUUUUUUUUUUAAUUAUUAAAGUAUAGUUGAUUUACAAUGCUGUGCCAGGUGACCUGUUUUAAUUUGUCUUCUGUGGGGCCACUUACAUCCUGGGAGCAAUGACCACCACAAACUGGGGGUCUUCUUCUCUUGUUUUUGGCUAGCUAACUGGUUUUGUUGCCUGAUGGGAAGCAUGUAUUUUGAGCUCUGCUGUUUUAUGCUUCACUUGUGGGGUGCAUCCUGAGCCCUUGCCUCGGCCAUAGAUUUAACUAACUGAAACUGAAAAUUGCACUCUGUUUGCGUUCUACAUAGUUGGUGUUAAGGGACAGGAGUGUGGAACUAAGGUCCGUGUUUGGGUCAUGUGUUUUGGCCCAGAUCUCUUUUUGUGCCUGAAAUUGAAUCCUGUGUCUCAAUUCCUGCAUAAACUGUAAGAGACACCAGCAUCCCGGAUUUUACCUUGUGGCUAUUGAUUGUAUCUCAACCAGGUAUUGGUUUACAUUGUACGGAGCACUCAGGAGAAAGACUCGUAUCCUGUUCAAUACAUGGGCCUUUUGGGGUCACUCAUAUGAAGAAACAGCAAUUACCACGUCACUCCUAAAAGUCACACCUAAAAGCAUCAAGGAUGGCUCUCAAGGAGGGGUCAACACAAUUGGCUGAACUUUAUUGCCACAAAUAAUUUGGCCUCCCCCAAAGAGAAGGUCUGGGGCUUCUGGGAGGUGAUCUCUGGGUUCUCAGUGUAUUAUGGCUGAUUGUAGUUUCUUUGCUUCCCUCAGAGCCUUGGGUCUCAUGCGAUAAUCUUAAUGUGAUUUAGGGUGGUGUCUGGCCAUACCUGUAUAGUCUUAGAGUGGGGGCUGGCCAUGCCAGAAAGAACAACAAUGUGACUCAUGGUGAGGGUUUUAGAUCACACAGCAUCGUCAACCCCAAACCACGCUCAACUGUGUGGGCAAUCAAUCAUGCCUAUAUAACAGAACCCCAAUAAAAGCCCUGAAUAAUGAGGCUUGGAUGAGCUUUCCUGGUUGACAAUACUCCAUAUGUACGUACUGUCACAUGCCAAUGCCUGGAGAAUAAUGCAUCCUGCCUCCCCACUUGAAGAAGAAAUGGAAGCUUCACAUUUGAAAUCUUCCUGGACCUUGCCCUAUGUGUCUCUUUCUUUGGCUGAUCUUAAUCUAUAUUCUUUCCUGUAGUAAGCCAUAGUCAUGACUUUAACAGUUUUCAGGGAGUGAGUUAUCAAACUCGAGGGUGAUUUUGGGGAUCCUCAAAACUUGAAGAUGGUUCAGAAAAAAAGAUGAUGGUCUUGUGUGAAGACUGCGCCCUCUAACUUUGUAGCUGACUACAACUUAGUUGACAGGUAAAUUCAGCUUGUCAUCUUAUCAUUGGAAUUUUUGGCCAACCAUCGGCUCUAUCUACAUAUUCUUAAAGACAAAAAGGCCUUUUCAAUGGCAGUAACAACAAUUCCUUAUCCAAAGUUGCCCCUCUUUGGUGAAUAACUGAGAAUAUUUUGCCUCACAGAUACUCAAAAUAUAAAGUCAUAUAUGUCUUUGCACAUACUAAAGCCACAAUAUAAGGCCUUGCCAAGACACUUCUUACCUCCUUUGAAGUUCUAGACAUUGUUGAUAGUAACCAGAGCACUCAUUUCACCUCUUAAAAUGUACAACCCUGAGCUCUUAAACAAGGUAUUCAAUAGAAUCUCCAUCUCGCUUACCCGCUUCAAGCUGCAGGCUUCAUAGAAUGUGAUAAUAACUUAUUUAAACAACUUCAAAAUCAAAUAAAACAGAGUACAUUUCUCAAACCUCAGGAGUGAAUUGUAAUAAAGACCCUGACUCCAUUUUUGAUGUCUGACACUAACAGCUUUCUAACCCCCACUCCCCCUUCCAUUCAACUCCAUAUCUAGACAAUGCCACAAAAGGCCCAGGAGGCUUACAAAGGAACUCUUCCAGGAUGUCUCGCCCCCUACCUGCAGCUGAAACCAGGGUCUCUUGUUCUUACUCUCUCUUGAGCUGCUCAAGCCAUUUUCAGACUAUUUUGUGUUCUCGCUUGUUCUGCCCAGGAAGUCCCACGAUGUGGGAUCAUUUCAUAAUUUUUUGGUGUGUCUUUACAUUUGAACCAAAAUUCCACCCUACUCAGGGCAAACACAAGCCACAUUUAAUGGAAUACUAUUUAGUCAUAAAAAGUGACAAAGUACGAUACACGCUCCUAUACAGAUGGGCCUCAGAAAUAUUACGCUAAGUGAAAGAAGCCAAUUAUAAAAGUCUACAUGUUCUCCAGUUUAUAUGAAAUGUCCAGAAUAGGCAUAUCUAUAGAGACAGAUAGUAAAUUGGAUUAGAGAUGAGGGAGGGGGAUAUGGAGAUGGAAUGCAAUGUGACUGCUGACAACAAGAGGGUUUGGGGGGGGCUAAUAAAAAUGUUCUAAAAUUAGACUGUGGCAAUACCUGCAAAAUUCUGUAAAUUUAAUUGUAAAACAAGAGAAUUUUAUGGUAUAUAAAUUUUAUCUCAAAAAGCCAUUAAAAAUAAAAAAGUUUAAAAAAAUUUACAUUAGACCAAAGAAUUAAAAACACUAUGUCUUUAGCAACAGAAAAAUACUCAAGUUGUAUUGUUUUACCAGGUUCUCACUAAUAUUGUCUAUACACUGAGGGAAAUAAUCUACAGAAAUCUCUCAAAAAAGACAAAGUGAAGUGCUUUGAGGCAAGGUUUAUUUGUAAACUAUUUUCCAAAACUACAGUUUCUCAUAAGAAUCUCAUAGUAGAGGUACAGUCACUAUGGAAAACAGUACAGAGGUUCUUCAAAAAACUAAAAAUAGAGUUGCCAUAUGAUCUAGCAAUGCCACAUAUGGGCAUAUAUCUGGACACAACUAAAAUUCAAAAAGAUAUAUGCAUCCCUAUGGUCAUAGCAGCACUAUUCAGAAUAGCCAAGAUAUGGAAACAACCUAAAUGUCCCAACAGAAGAAUGGAAUAAGAAGAUAUGAUACAUAUACACAAUGGAAUACUACGCCGCCAUAAAAAAGAAUAAAACAAUGCCAUUUGCAGCAACACAGGUGGAACUAGAGACUCUCAAACUAAGUGAAGUCACAGAGAGAAAGACAAAUACUGUAUACCACCUAUAUGUGGAAGCUAAAAUAUGGCACAAAUGAACAUAUCUACAGAACAGAAACAGAUUCACAGGCAUGGAGAACAGACUUGUGGUUGCCAAGGGGAGGGGAAGGGGGAAGGAGUGGGUCAGACUGGGAGUUUGGGGUUAGUAGAUGCAAACAAUUAUACAUGAAGGGGGUAAACCACUCUCCUAUGUAUAGCACAGAGAACUAUAUUCAAUGUCCUAAUGGAAAAGAAUAUUUAAAAGAGUGUAUAUAUGUAUAACUGAAUCACUUUGCUGUACAGCGGACAUUAAGACAACACUGUAAAUCACCUAUACUUCAAUUAAAAAAAAAAAAAAAAAA
ensembl:lncRNA